rnacentral:lncRNA from 1 species
CUGAGCUUUGUAAGCCAACUGCAGUAAUCUGUAUUUGCCAUGGUUUUGGGAAGAGCGUAGAUUGUUAGCCAAAUUGCCUUGGGAGGUUAGGGAGGAUGAACAUCAAGAGCAGGUGGAUUUAGGCCAGACAGCUCUGCAGGAUUUUGUUGAAUGAGCUUUGAUCUAUGUAGCACCUGUGCCAGGCUUGUAAAACAGGUAUCAACUAGUGGAGGGAACAGAGUUUCCAAGCCAGGAUGAAGAGAAGUAUUUUAGGUGUUUUCUAGUUGUGCGGCAGUGCUUACUACAGAGCUGCAGCACAAGAGCUCUCCUGGUUUCUGUAGGCAUGACUGGCCAGAUUUAGGAAGACUGGAACUUCCUAAAAUGUUGGGAAUUGAUGGGUCCAUUGCGUGUGGCAGCUCAUACAGACACCUCCCUGCAGGAGGAUUUCCCUGGGUGUAUUCCCCAGACAUCUGCUGGGUAAGCAACUCUGCCAGACACAAGCAGUCCAAACGGUUCCUACAAUGCGUUGAGGACAAUUUUCUGAUCCAGGUGGUGGAGGAGCCAAUGAGGUGGGGGGUGCUCCUGGACCUUGUUCUUACCAACAGGGAUGGCCUUGUUAGGGAUGUGAAGGUUGGGGGCAGCUUGGGAUGCAGUGACCAUGCUUUGUCUGCUCUCCCCUUCAUUUAAACAAGAUAACUUCACGAGUGGCCAGCCAAAGUUAGGAACCACAGUCAGCAAAGAUGGUUUGAAAUGCUAAAGGCCAUUGAAGCCCAACUCCAAAUCUCUCUCGUUGUUCUUAUUCCCCCAAUAUUCUCCCUGCAUUUUCAUAAAGGCUAAGAAGGCUCUACGAAACCCAGGAAGCAAUACAAUCUACUGACAGUAACAAAGUAAGCAAACAAACAAAAGUCCAGUCAGUCCAACACUGCAGGCUGAAGCUCAGUCUGAGAUACAAGCUAUGUCAUGAUGUACCUGUUUCAUUGGCAGGGCACGAUGGAGUCACCUGCCGUGACCCCACAGAAGGGCUCUCUCCAGCUCCUAGUGAAGAAACGGGAGUCCGCCAGUGCCACAAAACCCAGCUUGGUGCACCAGCACCCACCAGCGCCACGGUCGCGGGCACGAAAGAAACGCAUCCGUGUCAGAUCUGUGGAAAUACUCUGGGCAGAGGGUCGGAUCAUGGAAACGAUCGAGGAGGAGCCCCUGGGCAGCACUGGUGAGAUUGAAACCUUCCCCAUUGCUUACGAGGAGCUUCAGAGCCACUUCGAGAGCCUGGGUGGCAGGAAGGGAGCAGAAAGUGAGAUGCGCUCACUGUCACCAGCUCGGACUAGCAAGCCUGAGAGCAAUCCAGGUGUAGUGGAGUCCGGCGUUAAAAGGAGGAGGGCAGUCUUUGAGAUGCUCUCAGAAAAUGGACAACACAGCGAUGCCAAAGGUUAGUCUUACCACUUGGAUCUGCUUUCUCACUCUACUUGAGUGCACUCGAUCUCUGUUGUGACGAGGGGCAACCACAUUCGUGCCCUCAGGGCAGCCCCCCGGCUGCCCAGGAAAAGAACGUGGUGUUCUUAUUGAUGCCAAACAAGCUUUCCAGCUUUCUCCAUUUUAUCUUUGUGUUACGGAGGAGUGCCCAAAGCCCAUUAAACACUUUUUGAGCAAAACACAACAGAACGGUGUCCUAUGUUUAGAGAAGAAACUUAUGAUGAAGACAACCCAAAUCUAAAACUGUGAUAUCAAAAAUAUGGGCAGCAUUCAUCAAUUAUGAAAAAGCAGGAGCUUCCUAUUAUCAGUUGGUGAAGAUAGUUUGGAUUUGGAGACGUGUUGCUUUUGUAACAACACCUUAGCUUUUAAGCGUGGCUUUCAGGUUUCCACAAGUCGAAUGCUCCGUGCUUGUUGUGUUCUAAAGUAAAAGUUGCUAAAUGGCUGCUGAAAAGUUGGUGUUCCUGUUCGUUUUGCCUACUGCUUUUCUUUCAAGAUUUGAAACACGUGCACCCAUCUCC